CAUAAAUAAAUCAAAACUUUCAACAACGGAUCUCUUGGUUCUGGCAUCGAUGAAGAACGCAGCAAAAUGCGAUAAGUAAUGUGAAUUGCAGAAUUCAGUGAAUCAUCGAAUCUUUGAACGCACAUUGCGCCCGCCAGUAUUCUGGCGGGCAUGCCUG
rnacentral:rRNA from 1 species